GCAUGGCCGAAUUCUGCAUUGCCUUUGACCGUGGCUAAUGGAGUCAGACACCAUGCGAAAGUAAAGCUUCCGUCUUUGGCGUCCCUAAUGGCAUGCUGCGUGUAAGGCAGUGAGCCUGUGUCGGAGAUGGAUACACAA